GGCGUAAGGGCUCGCAGGCGGUUUCUUAAGUCUGAUGUGAAAGCCCCCGGCUCAACCGGGGAGGGUCAUUGGAAACUGGGAAACUUGAGUGCAGAAGAGGAGAGUGGAAUUCCACGUGUAGCGGUGAAAUGCGUAGAGAUGUGGAGGAACACCAGUGGCGAAGGCGACUCUCUGGUCUGUAACUGACGCUGAGGAGCGAAAGCGUGGGGAGCGAACAGGAUUAGAUACCCUGGUAGUCCACGCCGUAAACGAUGAGUGCUAAGUGUUAGGGGGUUUCCGCCCCUUAGUGCUGCAGCUAACGCAUUAAGCACUCCGCCUGGGGAGUACGGUCGCAAGACUGAAACUCAAAGGAAUUGACGGGGGCCCGCACAAGCGGUGGAGCAUGUGGUUUAAUUCAAAGCAACGCGAAGAACCUUACCAUGUCUUGACAUCCUCUGACUACCCU
rnacentral:rRNA from 1 species